rnacentral:lncRNA from 10 species
GGAGGCCUCUGCCAGUUCCUGUUCUGUUAUUGCAUUUUUAAGGCUCCUGUCCACAGCAGAAUGCCUGCUGGCAGUUACAGUUGAUAAACUAAGUAGGAGUUUCCUGCUCCAGAGGGAGUGAAGGCACUGGCAGCCACCACUGGCAGCUGGAACUCCCAAGCUACUCCACGACGCGGGAGGUUGCCUGGCAGUCAGUUUUGAUGACCAGGCCUAGGAGCCACUCUCAAAUCCAAUUCUCCCUACUUUUGAACCGAUUCAGAAGACUCGGAGACCUUGAAAAUGAAAUCAAUGAGAUGUUACUGGGAAUAUUUAUAAACCACAUCCUAAUGCUGCCACAGAUAAUGAAAGAAUACUUCGCAGAGUCAAGUCAAUCCAAGAGAGGAUGAGGAAUUUAUUUUCCAUGAUUUCCUAAAUUUACAUAACUCAAACUUCCAGCUUUUGAAUCUGAGAGGCCUUCCAUUUAGCAUCUCUCCAAUCCUCUUUUGAAGAAACCCAAACUGGACAGACAGUUACUGAAUUUUUGUAAUGUCCGAGGCUUCCAGGAGGAGUGACACAUAUCUCUGCUGGAUGAGCUCACAGUUCCAAUGAGAAGAUACAAGCUGAAAGAUUGCAGCAGAACUGGGAAGUGAAAGCACGGAGAGGCUGUGGGACAUGGAGGAGGGGCGGUAAGAUUGAGAAAGAGGUAACAGUUGGGGUGACUUUGGACCUGAGACCUGGGCAGGCAUAAGAAGUCUCACUCUCUAUUCCAUUCUUGGCAGGGGAUGUUUCUUUGUACCAGGUAGCUUUGCGCUUGUUUUGUUCCAUAAAAGUAAAUCUCUGUUCACUAAGGAAUUAUGGUAGUGAAUGGUGACUCUCCGGAAUUAUAGGGCUAAUUCCAAAAUAAUCUUAGUUUUAUUCCCCCACAUUGUAAUAUUAACACUUGGGAAUUUUGUUUAUCGCGAUGUUUAAUAAUUUGGCCAGCAGAGGGCACUGCAUACUGACAGUCUCUCCACACCAGUCGCUCAAAUCCUCAAGAGUUCCCGAAGUGUUAGGCUUAACUCAGGGGUGUUUGCAAGUGCUUUGCUCUUCUGUUUCAGACAUAAACAUAUGUCAGAAAUUAAAAGAGGGUUGUGAAGCAGGAAAUUAGAUUAACAGUAGCAUAUAAUUUCCCUCUAUUUGUUAAUAAAGAGAAAAAAUAUUGGUAUGUACACCCAUGUCUACAGGGUUUUAAAUGUAGCUGUAUUAAUUAAUGUAUUAAUAAUAUGAUAACACUACUUCUUGCAUAAAUCAACAUAACUUCUAAAUUCUCUUUGAAAAUAUUUUUGGUUUUAUAUUGUGGUUUAAUUCUCAAUCAUAAACUAAAAAGUAAAAAAACCUGAUGCCUAAUGUUAUACUUUCUUUCAAACCUUAAGAUAGAUAUUAUUGUUUGAAUAGUAUCAAAAUAUUGUGGUUCUGCAC